ACUCCGCAACAUUGUUUCGCAUAUCCCUCUUCACUGUUCGACACCCUCACAAACCCUUCAUCCUCUCGACACCUACCAUUCAAGUUUCCACAUCACUUGAAAAACCCACACACCUUCACCACAUCUUUACGCUCAAACCGCAUACUCGUCGGAGAAGUCGGGUCGUCGCUGUAGAGUUACGGGCCUCGCCGGACCUGCAAGUGGCCGGACACGUAUCCACGCCGGAGUUCGAGACGUCGCCAAAGAACCGAAUGCCGUCGGAGUUCACGUUAACUGUUCGGUUGAUAGUCAAGAUGAUGAAGGGAUCAAGAUAGGAUGGACUAGAUACCCAUUUUAAUAAUAAACCAUGUGUUUGAAUUUAGUCAUUUAUGAAAUUUGAUUUAAUCUAUAUUGUCACAAUUAGUGUUAUGAUGCUUUUGAACGAUUUAUUCGUCUCAUCCCGGUGUUUCCGCCAUCGGUUGGGAUGUGACAUACUCGACACGUAAGACUCGUCAACAUCUGAGGGGGAGUCUGUUGGUACAUACAUCUGUCGACUUUGUUUUGUAUCGAGUCUUAGACUAGAUUGUAUAGAUCAGGGCUCGUAGAACGAGAAAUGUCAAGUUUUAUGCUAUGUAAAUGCUGAUUUCGCUCCAAAGGCUAAUUCCGCCUGAAAUGUCAGAAGACACUUUCGAGCGGAAUCAUGAGAUGCUAAUUCCGCCCCUAAUGUUGUUAGGUCGUUUAGAGCGAAAUCAUGUAACUGUUCACUGAUUCCAUACCGAAUUGCUGCCGGUGUGAAGAUUGAUUGUAUUUGUGAUCAUAUCAAUAUAAUCAGUAGU
rnacentral:lncRNA from 1 species